CUCCUCUUGGUCUGGGUUUUUGCGUUUCGAUUGUUUUCUUCAUGAUAACUUACACAUUGAUCAUCAGACCAAAACCGAAGGGAAAGACAUCGAACAUAAUUGCAAAUAAAGAGGAAAUUGGUGAUUCAGUGAUCCAACUCAACUUGUCAAUCGACCACUAUUAAUGCCCCAGCUCUGUGAUUGGUCAUGGUGGUGUCACUCUAACCCUGCUUCUGAGUCCAAUCACACGAUGAGCUGCGCCCCCUCACAGCCAGAGAGAAAGAGCUGCAGGAGCUGAGACAGUUUGACCAGGACUGGCGGUGUGGACCCUGCAGCAAACGGUAUCAGCCGUUUGCAGCGGUGGGAGAGAGCUGCACAGCAUGGGUUAAACCCCCCUCGGGAGAUCAGAUAUAUGCCGUUUAGCGCAGACACAGACUACACACACUGUCUGUCGAGUGACUAUCCAUUGUGAGAAAUGGAAAGACGAGAGACAGAGAAGAUAAAAGUAGAAUGUCCAAAGUUCAGGUGGUUUUGCUUUUGUUUAGUUCAGGUUUGACUGCUAACCAUCACACUACACGUUUUUAUUAAAAUGCCCUUCUCUACAAAAAUAUCAGUUUUUAUUAGGUCUGUCACACACACACACACACACACACACACACCACUGCCUCUUUUGAGACAUUUACAUACAUAUUUGUAU